rnacentral:rRNA from 1 species
UACGGAGGGUGCGAGCGUUAAUCGGAAUUACUGGGCGUAAAGCGUGCGUAGGCGGUUUGUUAAGUCAGAUGUGAAAGCCCUGGGCUCAACCUGGGAAUGGCAUUUGAAACUGGGCAUCUAGAGUGCGUCAGAGGGGGGUGGAAUUCCACGUGUAGCAGUGAAAUGCGUAGAGAUGUGGAGGAACACCGAUGGCGAAGGCAGCCCCCCUGGGAUGACACUGACGCUCAUGCACGAAAGCGUGGGGAGCAAACAGGAUUAGAUACCCUGGUAGUCCACGCCCUAAACUAUGUCAACUAGUUGUUGGGGACGUAAGUUCUUAGUGACGAAGCUAACGCGUGAAGUUGACCGCCUGGGGAGUACGGCCGCAAGGUUG